GUUAAGUAGAAAAUACAGGACAAAAAAUCUAAAAUAGUCCUCAGAUAUCCGUUGAAAUCCUUCAAACAGAAAAGGAGAAAAAGGUUGUUUUCCUCCUGGUUUCCUCUGUUCUCCCCUGGGCUGCGUGCGUCUGAUGCAGCAGCUGAUCUGUUCAGAAACGGCCGGAAAAAAAACUCUGCAAACAUCUCGCAUGUUACAUUCCACAACUGAACAGUCAUAGUUCCGAGUCUGCACGAAGGAGGCACGUCCAGGAAACCGCGUUUGACACUCAGCCCGGUGGCCGACGUUUGGGGCGUCGCCCAAAGCCUCAGACCAAUCGGAGUUCACUAUCAAACUUUGUAAACAACUCUUACGCACUGAUUUUUAAAGCCCAUUUACUGCCCUCACCUCCACGGUGCUGCGCCGGACCGGGCCACAGACACGCCGGUUCUCAUUUUGAAAUCAAAAACUUCUCAUAAAACAUCAAUGAAGACUAGAAAAGUGAUGCAAUGCAAGGCUGAAAAGAAGCAAAAGCACCAGGACGCUUGCAGUCGCCGCAGACGACUUCUCAGGGAGUUCUAAGCUCCUGAGGGACAUCAAAAACAUGGCAGCAAGGAUCAGCAUGGAUCUGGGAUCAACUGGAAGCAAGUUUACAGUGUAGGUCAAUCAACCUCUACGAAAUGAAUGUGGUUUAUUUUGCUUGUCACAUAAUUGGGCUUUAUUCUGAUGGUAUGUGUCUGCAUUGCUUAGAUUAUGUCUGAGUUAUGUGAAGGAAAGGUUAUCUGGCAUUAUGUUUGUUCUACUUUCAUUUUGAAUUGCCAAACCUUUUAGUUGCUACCUAAAUAGUGGGAUUCAUAUUGACAUUCUUAGCUAUAAUGAAGGAAAAUAUCUUGAUGAUUUGCAAAUACUCCUCUGGUCAAACUGAAGCUUAAACUCGAACCAAAAAAUGGAAUUUGGAGGAAGGGACCUUAUUUUUGGAAUCUUAAAAUCUUUAAAUGUUCUCAAAAAUCGAUAGCGUUUGGAUUCUGGUUUUUCUUACUGACCUCGAGCAAUUUUCUGUAGUACACUGCUUUCAAAUAUCUUUCAAAAUGUGUUAGUACGACUUUGGUAAACUACAAAGCUGCACAGCUUGAUGGAACACUUGAAGCAUUAUGGCAGGGGUGUCAAACUCAUUUUCACUGAGGGCCACAUCAGCACAGUUGUGUCCUCAAAGGGCCAGAUAUAACUUAUACCUACUAAGUGUAAGUGUAAGUGUAAGUGUAAUGAAAAAAUAAAUGAACUCCUCCUUAAUUUUAAAAAACUCAUUAUUUAUUUAUUAUAACGUUUUAAAGUGACAAUUACAGUUGCAUAGAAAACAUAUGUUUCCUUGUUACUCUAGCAUAAAUCCUUUUAAAUGUUGUCGGCUUAUUUAAACCCACAAUCAAAUUGUCCUAGCGAAUGAAGAAAAAUAACAUAAAACUGAGCUAGACAGAACAUUUAUUAUAGUGUAAUAUUUGACAUAAAAGGCUGCAUCCAACUGAUGGUUUGAUGACAACAACUUGUAUCCAUACACACAUAAGACCUGCAAACACUGAACAAUUACAACAGCAGCUACACAUAAUAACAC
ensembl:lncRNA